rnacentral:rRNA from 1 species
GUAGGUGGCAAGCGUUAUCCGGAAUUACUGGGCGUAAAGCGCACGCAGGCGGUCUUUUAAGUUUGACGUGAAAGCUCCCGGCUUAACUGGGAGAGGUCGUUGAAGACUGGAAGACUUGAGGCAAUGAGAGGGGUGUAGAAUUCCCGGUGUAGUGGUGGAAUGCGUAGAUAUCGGGGGGAAUACCAGUGGCGAAAGCGGCACCCUAGCGUUAGCCUGACGCUCAUGUGCGAAAGCGUGGGGAGCGAACGGGAUUAGAUACCCCGGUAGUCCACGCUGUAAACGAUGAACACUAGGUGUAGGUGAUGUGAAAGUUAUCUGUACCGAAGCCAACGCGUUAAGUGUUCCGCCUGGGGAGUACGGCCGCAAGGCUAAA